GUUUGUUUGGCCGCCACAAGCGGGCUAAAUUGGCUAGAUGAGCGGGGCGGACUUAUCUUCUGCAAAAACGAAUGACAGAAAUGCAGACUUGUACACGGCAACUGCCCUGUUGAUUUCAGUCAGUUCACCAGGACCAAACAUUUGGAAAUGUGAAGAAGGUUUAAAGUAUGGCAUGCAAAGAUGGUCUCUGUCAAAACGGAGAUGGUCAUUGCGAUACCCCUCAGUUGUAUUUACACACUCUUGUACUUGAUCUGCAUAACUGUCUGCAACAAGCGGUGGUUAGUCUUUUGUAACACAUUGCGCUUUAUCCUGCACCUUCUUUGGAUCGUAAGGGGAGCCUCUGCACAGACAAUAAACGAUGAGAAACUGUAUCCUGAAAAAUUCACACGUAUUUUAGACCGACUUUUGGACGGCUAUGACAACAGGCUGCGACCCGGAUUUGGAGGUCCAGUCACCGAAGUUAAUACAGAUAUAUAUGUAACCAGCUUUGGCCCUGUUUCAGAUGUUGAAAUGGAGUACACUAUGGAUGUGUUUUUCCGCCAGACAUGGGUGGAUCGCAGGCUGAGCUUUGAGGGUCCCAUGGAGAUCCUCCGGCUCAACAACCUCAUGGUCACCAAGGUGUGGACCCCAGACACCUUCUUCCGGAAUGGCAAAAGAUCUGUCGCCCACAACAUGACUGCCCCCAACAAACUUUUCCGCAUCAUGAAAAAUGGCACAAUCUUGUACACCAUGAGACUAACGAUCAGAGCAGAGUGUCCAAUGAGGCUGGUGGAUUUCCCAAUGGAUGGACAUGCGUGCCCCCUAAAGUUUGGAAGCUAUGCAUAUCCCAGAACAGAGGUGAUCUACACCUGGACUAAAGGACCAAAAUAUUCAGUUGAAGUACCGUCUGAGUCCUCCAGCCUGCUUCAGUAUGAUCUCGUUGGACAGACGGUCUCCAGUGAGACUGUAAAAUCGAUUACAGGGGAAUAUGUUGUCAUGACGGUGUAUUUUCACCUCAAGAGGAAAGUGGGAUACUUCAUGAUUCAGACAUACAUCCCGUGCAUCAUGACAGUGAUUCUCUCCCAAGUGUCCUUCUGGAUCAACAAGGAAUCGGUUCCUGCAAGGACUAUUUUUGGGAUCACUACAGUGCUGACCAUGACCACGCUAAGCAUCAGUGCCCGUCACUCGCUGCCCAAGGUCUCCUAUGCCACCGCCAUGGACUGGUUCAUUGCCGUCUGCUUCGCCUUUGUCUUCUCCGCCCUUAUUGAAUUCGCUGCCGUCAACUAUUUCACCAACGUACGGAUGGAGGCUGCCCGGAUGAGGUCGGCCAGGGUCCCCUGCCCAGGCGAUGCCACCGACGCUGAAGAGGUGCUGCAUGUGAGCCAGCUGGUCGGCAUUCGCCGCUCACACAUAGGUCAAGGGCCCUCCUGCAGAUACUGAAAGCCAUUAUGGUACAACUGUAGAGAGCAGUCCUCCACAUUGCCCAGGGAGGUAAAACACUUGAUCUCUGCCCCGAGUUAAACUGAGGACCCCUGAGAUUUUACUUUCACUGGCUUAUUCUCCUUUAAAAAUCUUUACUCAGAGAACACUCAAUUUCUAGUGUAAUUCUGCCUAGAGGUGUAAGGUUACCUUUUCUUGCGAUAAGACGUUUGCUCAGGUGUACUAAGAAUUUCUAGUUUUUCUUGCAAUUUCAGCCAACAACUAUUGGUAAGUAAGCAAUAUAUGGAAAGUAUAAGGGUGUCCAGACACAGCAGCUAUUUACAGUAUUACUCAAGGAUUAAGUUAAUUUUGCUUCACAAGAAUGUGGUAUCACGCGUAAGGAAUUCAACUUCGUUCAGAAAGUCUCAAUGCUUUUGAAUGCAUUCUUGACCUAUUUUGUAUGGUGGAUCCAGUAGUACACCUCACUGUUUCAGGUUGAAUCCUUGGUAUGGUGAAAAAACUCAGUAAUCCAGAGCAGGGCCAGCCCAGGGUAAACGUGAUCCAGGAAGCCACCAUCUGAUCAGUCUGUCAGGAUGGGAAGAAAGAUGACGAGUUACAGUUAUGUUAGUCAAAAUGCACCAAAAAAAGGCUUGACCGGCCCUGGUCCAGGUGAUGGACAUGAUGUAGAUUGUUAGCAGAUUGUUAGACUUUUCCUAAACAUACUGGACAGUUGUUUCAUCACAACAACAUGCAUAUCCAAGCAAUAACUUUUAAAUUAAGGACAAUCAAUGCCUCUUUGUCUCAUCUGAGCCAUCUAACACAUGCAGCCUCACACAACAUAGUCUCUGUUUUGCAGUUUUAUACAACAGUGCAAUGUGAUUGUUUAUUGCAUCAUAAUUAAGAUUAUGCAAUCAGAGUGGACAUUACGGUAAGAAUGUGUACGGUUUGUGGAGUUUGGUUGGACUGUGGAACAUGAUUGGGUGAUAUUUUUCAAUGUAGAUGGGUACGGUCUUACAAAAGGCCCUGGUUAUUUACUUAUUUAUUCCAAAUCCCCCAGGCUGAGGUUAUAAAAUAAAGUACUAGAAGUAGAAGAACUAGUCUUUAAUUAGAUAAAUUUGUCAAUUGCCUCAUUUUUCCAUGCUUAGCUGGCUGUCCAGGCAGAGACCACUGAAUGCACCCGUAAUGGAAAAUAACAGUUUUAAGGUAUAUUUGUGCAAGUUAAAUUAAUGUUAUAGUGUCCAAUUGACUAUCAGAGUAUGCCUUCAGGAGUUUAAAUUUAAUUAAUGCCGGCCUUCUGGAGUCUAAUCGCAGAAAGGAUCAGUAACACUGCCAGCCUGAAGAAAUGGAAAUCCCAUUCUGCUUAAAGAAACAUAUAAAACAACUGCAUAUUGUGUCCUGUUUGCUGCUUUCAUUGGAGUGACUGUAAUUCUUCAGAGUGGGUAGUAUUGCCUGGAGGAGAAAAAUCACAGAGAUUUCAGAUUAAACAUUAUUUUAUAAGAUUUAGGGGCAGCUUCAACCAGCCUUACAAAUUACGAGGAAACCAAGUAAACAGGGAUAUGACGAUGAGUUAAUUUACAAUGUUGCGAGAUUCCCUGAAACACUUUUAUCUUUUUUUAAUUAAAUAUACUUGCAGACAGGUUAGGAUAAGCUUUCAUCCAUGAAGCUGCUAUGACAAGAAAAUACCUUGCAUUUUAACCCAUAUACCGCAAAUGAAUACAGAUUAAAAUACAUUAUAUUUUGUUUUCAUAGCAGCGCAAAUGCACAUAAAAUAAGUACGCAUUUGUGCUUUUACAAUCGAUUGUCGCAUGUAUCGUUCUUAAAGGUGAAUGCGUACUUGCGUACCAGUUAUGUGCACCCCUGACUAUAUACAGUAAUCGAUUCCAUGAAAAAUCAGUUUUGUACAUGACAGAUCAAGACUUUAAUUUUGACAACACUAUGUUGUGUACAUAGGGUGACCAUCAAAGGUGGAAAGUUCAGGUUUGGAAAGUACAAAUCCAGACAAAGAUUUUGUUUCAGCCAACCAAUUGAGUAGAAAGAGUCAUAGUCACAGGGCCUUCUUUUCCACCGAUUCAAAGUGCGACGUAAAGUGUGACGCAAAGUGGUUUGUUAGAUUUGUACAAGUGCUGUCCCCUUUCCCAACCGCUGUGCUCAUUCAGCAACGAGCUUGUUUUUCCCGUCAUCUGACAUCAUUGUAAUAGCAAUCCGCUGUAGAUCAUGCAUCGCUGCCUUUUAAAGGUGAGGUGACCCACCAUUCUGAUUGGUUCAUUGCAUGUUACGGCCAAAACACGCCUCUGAAUAAUUAAAAGAGUUAGGACAACCAUGUGCUUUGUGUUGCCGCAAAGUCUGGUUUUUCCGCUGUCAAAAUAGUGAAAUGGAUCUGGACACGCCCAUAAAUGUUAGUUGCACUAACUCACAGAGAGCCCACAGAGUGCUCAACUGAUUGGUUGAAACAAAAUCUUGCUGGUCUGGAUUUGUACUGUCUGAAUUUGAACUUUCCACCUGGUGAUUAUUUGUCCUGAUUUCAGGCGGACAGUCCACUUUUCCCUGCUGCUGCAUGUCCUUUUUGCCCUUUUGUCUUCUUUUGACAUCUUCUGUGCAUGUAAGGCAUGUGUAAGUAAUGAUAAUGAUAAUAUGAUAAUGAUAGCAAUAUUAAUACUAUGAGUCCUGUUAGCGUUGACAUUAAUGUGUAACUACCUGAAAAAAAACAACACUUUUCAAACAAAUCUCAACGUUGCUCAGACAUCUAGCAAAGCCGUCUGUUGAACUAGUUUUUACUGAGUGGGUUGAAUUGUCAGUGAGGGAAAGUGCUUUUGACUGAUUCUAAAUUCAGGUUGUUUCUUCACAUAAUAUCAGGGAUGUAUGGGUUUCAUAUAGCUCUUUCUUUCUAGUUAUUCUGAGGUGCAUGUAUUCCUAUGUUAAUGCUUAUCAAUAUACCGUAUUGGCCCGAAUAUAAGACAACCCCGAUUAUAAGAUGACCCCCUACUUUUUGACAACUACUUUAAAGAAAAAAAUUUUGGAAUACCAAAGUUUGCCUUUAUAAAGAAAAAAUAUUUUAUUUGACAAGAACAUACAAGUUAACCAGCAAUCUCUGUUUAAAAGGCAACCACAGGCAUUAAGGUUGUAAUAAGUGUAUUAAACAGCAAAUAUUCCAGAACACAAAUGUUUUAUUGGGGGGGUGGGGUAUGAAAAUUACUAACCCCAAAACCCUUGAGGGUGCAGAAUGUUUUAAAUGCAGCAGAGGGUAAAAAAGCAUAUUGUGGAGAAAGGUUGAGUCAUAUUAACAAAUGAUAUGACAGCUCUUUUAAAGUGAAUGUUACUAUCAACAGCCACUAUCAACUUAAUUCUAGCAGCUUCGCAGCCAGGGAAGCCAAAGAUUUACACGACACUCAGGGAUACGCACUAAACACGCGCACAGCCAGGGAAGCCAACGAUUUACACGACACUCAGGGUUACGCGCUAAACACGAGCACAGCCAGGGAAGCCAACGAUUUGCACGACACUCAGGGAUACGCGUUAAACACGCGCACAGCCAGGGAAGCCAAAGAUUUACACGACACUCAGGGAUACGCGCUAAACACGAGCACAGCCAGGGAAGCCAACUAUUUGCACGACAUUCAGGGAUACGCGCUAAUGACGCGCACAGCCAGGGAAGCCAGCGAUUUGCAAGACACUCAGGGAUACACCCUAAACACACGCACUGCUAUGGCUGCCAGCUCUCACGCAUCUGGUGUGACCCACUUUUUGAGUCUUACGCUCUUACAAGAAAUCUUACGGUAAAUUUAUAUUACGGUCAAAACACUUGUUACAAAAUAUCAUAUUUGGUGCCAUCUAUUCCCUUUCUUGUCUAGACCACAAAUAUAAGACGACACCACAUUUUCAGAUGUAUUCCGAGAAAAAAAAAACUCAUCUUAUGUUUGGGUCAACACGGUACAUCCUUUAAGAAAAUGGACAGUAGGUGAUCAUGUUUUACAUAUUUCACAUGAUCAGGAUAAUGGUAGUAGCCCAGUAGGUUAGGGGGUUUGAUGCCUGCCUCCGGCGGUACUUGCAGACUGCAUGUUGCCUGUGGUGAGUGUGGGUACCCUGACUUAAGAUGGGAUCCUGUCUGGGGUAUCCUCUGCCUUUUGCUGCCUGGGGAUGCACCCUGGACUAGCCAUGCCCCCAUACUGGUUAAGGGAUUGGGGACGGUCUGUCGAUACUAACAAAAGCAAUACUCAUAAUCAUUCAAUAUCAGAAAUGAUUCUGUUGCCCAAAAUGCUUCUGGCUGCGGAAACAUCCAUCCAUUUUUGGUACCCUCUUGUCCUGUGCAGGGUUUUUGGGGUCUGGACCCUGACCCAGAAGUAACGGGCACAGGGCAGGGAAUAACCCAGGAUAGGGUGCCAUUGCAGGACAUGUAAAUAUCAUUCACACAAUUUGACAACCCAGAGGAAUCCCCAUGAGCACAUGGGGAGAAAACAUGCAAACUCCACACAUGUGAAGGCCUGGCACAGACUUGAACCCUGGUCCCAGAGAAUGAUGUACACAGCAGCCUGAGAAAGAGGGUGA